CCUUGCUAAUUUUUUUUUACUGAUUACGUCCCGACUCCCGACGCCCGUGUCAAAUGACUAGUUCGAAAUGUCGAAAAUUAUUCAAGGUAUCUUGCUCAUAGAAUAAAGAUAAUAAUGAUCUUGGUCAUGUAGUCGCAUGUUCACCGUGAGUCAUUCUCGACUUCUUGUUCCUUGGUGACACCGUUGUCUGUCAGGUAAUUAUCAGAAAUCGAAUACUUACGUCGUCGUACUUACUGGCACUGACAAUGGUAGUCCGACAUGUGAGUCCAGUUUGAAACCAGUGAAGGUGUUGAGGUACUGUCCCGGUUCGACAACAUGAACUUCCGGGAAGACCUUGUGCGUGGCAUAUACGCAUAUGGUUUUGAACGGCCUUCGACUAUCCAGCAGCGUACCAUAAAGCCGAUGGUCACUGGACAGGACGUUAUAACUCAAGCCCAAUCAGGUACUGUCAAGACGGCCACAAUUUCAAAUGUAAUGUUACAAUCUUUUGACAUACAGCUCAGAGAUAUGACCAGUGUCAUGUCUUUUACCAACCCGAGAGCUGGCCGUACAAACUUAGAAGGAUUGGCCGUUCUGUAAGAUUUGGUUGUAAUGAUGUGGCAAUUAAUUUUACUAAGGCCGAUGAAACUAAAAUUGUUUGUGAUAUUGAACAAUUUUACUCCACGAUGGUUGUCCAAUUACCUAUGAAUAUUGGUGAGUUGAUUUGGAGAUGCACAGUUCAGGCUAAUAUUUGAUAUCAUUGUUACAAUUGUAAUAAAUUUUUCAUUUUUUACAUUUGCCUCAUUCUAUCCAUAUCAAAUAACAAAUGGGUGUAAUAAAUAAUUUGGUACAUUUUGUGUUGUGCAUUCAUUGUAAUCUAAACUACCCUCUGACCAUUAAGAUACAAAUUAAUCUCCAUCAUCUUUAUGACAGACACAGUUACAUAAAAUAAUUAUUUACCUUAGUUAAAGAAAAAUAUGCUCUUAAAUGAACACAUUGUGAUCAUUAUUUAAUAUGAUAUUUUAAAUUUUGAGUGGAUGAAUAAAUUGAUUAUACUAUGAGGUGUGUGUAUUUUUUUCAUAUCAUUUUUUUUUGUGUCUGUGUGCACGAUAACUAGUUGAAGUUAUUUUCUCAUUUUGCUGUAAUUCAAACAGUGUAGAUACUUGAAAUUUUUAUAAUCUCCUAUGUUUGAUAUUUUAUGGACAUUUU